rnacentral:sRNA from 1 species
GGGUGAUAUUUUAACUUUUUAUUUUGUUUUAGCAUCUUCUUUUCCAUUGAUAUUAUGAACCAGAGUUGUCCAGCUGUAAGGCUGAGGAAAUUACAAUCGGAACGUAAGAGUAAAAUUUAAAUUGUUCAUUCUGGAGUAAGCGACCCUUGGCAAGAAUAUCCGUCGGUUUGUUCUGUUUUCGAUUGACCCAUGUGAAUCUGCACUCCUGAAAUCGUUUCUUCGAAGCUUGAACAUCCCUAAUCCAAUUGAAAAUAUCAAAACG